GGCUCAGGAUGAACGCUAGCUACAGGCUUAACACAUGCAAGUCGAGGGGCAGCAUGUCGGUUGCUUGCAACCGAUGAUGGCGACCGGCGCACGGGUGAGUAACGCGUAUCCAACCUACCCUUGUCCAUCGGAUAACCCCGUCGAAAAGGCGGCCUAACACGAUAUGCGGUUCUCAGCAGGCAUCUAACGAGAACGAAAUGUGAAGGAGAAGGAUGGGGAUGCGUCUGAUUAGCUUGUUGGCGGGGUAACGGCCCACCAAGGCGACGAUCAGUAGGGGUUCUGAGAGGAAGGUCCCCCACAUUGGAACUGAGACACGGUCCAAACUCCUACGGGAGGCAGCAGUGAGGAAUAUUGGUCAAUGGACGGGAGUCUGAACCAGCCAAGUAGCGUGCAGGACGACGGCCCUAUGGGUUGUAAACUGCUUUUAUAGGGGGAUAAAGUGUGCCCACGUGUGGCAUAUUGCAGGUACCCUAUGAAUAAGGACCGGCUAAUUCCGUG
rnacentral:rRNA from 1 species